GCAGCGGCAUGGUGUGCAGCCAUUUUGUUAGCUAGCUUUAACAAUCUGUAUUGGUCGGUAAUAUUUAACAGUGAGUUUUGAGCUUAUUUUUUCACAAAAUUAUUCAUCCUUUCGGUCUUUUUCUUCGCUUCGAUUCUUGACAACAGGCGCACAAGUAGUUAGGGGUCGUGGGUAUUUGCUGACACUCAGUUAAACUCGACGUUCAUUCAUUUUUCAGGCUGCUAGCUUGUUGGCUAACAGGCUAACUUAUCUACGCGUGUCGUCACAGGAGAAAAUAGCACGUAUCUCUCAUGACCACAGUUUGUUUAUCAUUUGAAAGUUGCUGGGUGCUUCAUAAACACAGUUUGACUUCCGUCUGAUAUUACGCUAUCAUUUUUUCACGUUCUUUAAAAAACGUGCAUCCUCUCGUUGUUCACUGGUUUAAAAUAACCGUGAGUGUCGUUAUUCGAUUCCCCUUGGACCAUUAUCUCAGACCAUGUCGGAGCUCUACAUCCGUGUGGCUGAGGAUGAAAACGAGGAGCCCAUGGAGAUUCCCUCGGAGGACGAUGGGACUGUUUUACUGUCAUCAGUAGCGGCUCAGUUUCCAGGGGCGUGUGGACUGAGGUACAGGAACCCAGAGUCUCAGUGCAUGAGGGGGGUCCGGCUGGUGGAGGGGGUCCUGCACGCACCUGAGAAUGACUGGGGGAGUCUGGUCUAUGUGGUCAAUUAUCCCAAAGGUGGUAUUGUAAUGUCCUCGGAUAACAAAAGAAAGAUGGAGGAAAUAGAUGCUGCCUCAGCUGUAAAGGUCAAGAGAGGCUUUCAGAAAACAUCAGAUCUGAUUGUUCUUGGACUGCCAUGGAAAACCACUGAACAGGACCUGAAGGAUUAUUUCAGUACAUUUGGAGAGGUCAUCAUGGUCCAGGUCAAGAGACAAACAAACGGCAACUCAAAAGGAUUUGGAUUUGUCCGCUUCGCUGACUAUGAGACACAGACAAAAGUCAUCGCUCAGAGACACAUGAUCGAUGGACGGUGGUGUGACUGCAAACAUCCCAAUUCUAAAAUGUGUCCUGAUGAGCCAAUGCGCAGUCGUAAAAUUUUUGUCGGUCGCUGCACAGAAGACAUGACACCUGAUGAACUAAGACAGUACUUCAUGCAGUACGGUGAAGUCACCGACGUCUUCAUCCCUAAACCUUUCCGGGCCUUUGCAUUUGUUACGUUUGCUGAUGAUCAGGUCGCUCAGGCUCUGUGUGGAGAAGACUUGAUCAUCAAGGGCAUCAGUGUGCACAUCUCUAACGCAGAGCCCAAACACAAUAAUAGUAGGCAAAUGAUGGAUCGAGGGCGCUUUGGGGCUGGUGGGUUCAGUCAGGGCUAUGGCAAUAGUCGUGGUGGGCUGGGCAGUGGGACCAGUGGGGUUAAUUUUGGGGCUCUGGGUCUGAACCCAGCCAUGGUGGCUGCUGCCCAGGCAGCUCUGCAGAGCAGUUGGGGGAUGAUGGGCAUGUUGGCCAACCAGCAGGGUCUGACCACAGCAGCCGGCACAGCCACUACAACCAGAGACCAGACCUAUAGUUCUGCCAGCACCAGUUUCAGCAGCCCCAGCUCAGCCAGCCUUGGCUGGACUGCAGGCACUACAGCUGCCACCAACAGUGGCUUUAGCUCUGGCUUUGGCACAUCUAUGGAGUCUAAGUCUUCUAGCUGGGGAAUGUAGAUGUAUUAUAGGGAAUGUAUUUUAUUGAAGGGUUUUUUUAUUAUUUAAUUAGGCUACGCUGGUAAGUAUAUUUCAAAAUGAGAUGAGCGUAUAUCUUUAUUUUUCCUCAUUAUCUAAAAACACACACUGCCUUGUUAUUAUGUCUAAUAGAACGUUUGUACUUGCAUGUGAUUAAUGAUGCAGUCCUGCACUGAGUGGAUGAAGACUUUAGUUUGUUAGGACAAAUUGUUAGACUAGAAGAUUUUUAUUUUUCCUUCCACAUGAGUAAUGUGUGCAUGCAGGACAAAUAUGAAAAUGUGCACGAGAGUCAAGUGCUGCUCUGGCCCUUUAUAAGUCGGGCUUCAUAUUAUUAUAUACAGUAUAUCUGUAUGCAGUUUAUUGCAUCUUUUCUUUGUUGUGUUUUUUUUCCUCUGAAUUUGCCUUCAUGAAAAUCCCUUCUGCAGUUCAACACAUCUUUCCCAAUUUCCCGUCCCGGGAGGAAGCGCCUCAUUGGCUGCAAUGUUGGACAGAUCUCGGUAUCCCUUCCCCUCUUCCCAUGUCUAAAUGCUUUGUCAUCAAAGAACACAGCUUCACUCUGCACAUUCUGUAACCGACGGGACCUCGGACACGGGCGGCCCAGGUUUACGUCUGGAGUCACUUAUGAAGACGCCAGAGAUGUGGGUUUGCUGUUGCUAACCGUCAAAGGAAUCACUGCACGACCACUCACAUCCUGGAAAAGAUCUUCGUCGCACUAUCAAGAAACUUUGGACCAUAACUUAAUGGACCAUUAAUUAUUGGUCUUUUCAAAAAGAUUCUGAGAGCUGAACUAGAAAAAAAAGGUUUUACUCUCUGUCUUGCCUUAUCAGGAUUAUUCACUUGGAUCUUUAAUGUCUGCUUUUUGUUUUUUAGGUUUAUUAACGAGUAUUCCAUCUUAAAGAUUUGGAUCAGUUGUUUUGACAGUCGUUCAAUUUCCAUCUUUUUUUUUUUUCGUUUUUUUCCAAACCAAACCGCUGCCUUAAAUUUCGAUCCUACGUGUGUGUGUGUCAGCAGAUACAUUUAUUUAUUCUCCACAACUGCGACAGGAGACUUAACUGAACUAUGUUUGUUUUGUAUGUGCUUAAAAAAUACAGUUUGAACCUCCAGGACUAUUCCUUUUUUGUUCCAUUUGUUCACCUGUUCAGUGGUUGAACUGAGGCGACAGGGUCUUUUUGUUUUGUUUUGUUUUCCUAUGGGACUCAGCUGAAUAAUGAAGCCAGCAGAAAUCCACACUUUUGUACACUGAAAGGUUUUAGUAUUGCAGUGUAAAAAAAAAAUAAAAGCUGUUUUUUA